UACGUAGGGGGCAAGCGUUGUCCGGAAUCAUUGGGCGUAAAGCGCGUGUAGGCGGCCCGGUAAGUCCGCUGUGAAAGUCGGGGGCUCAACCCUCGAAUGCCGGUGGAUACUGUCGGGCUAGAGUGCGGGAGAGGCGAGUGGAAUUCCUGGUGUAGCGGUGAAAUACGCAGAUAUCAGGAGGAACACCGGUGGCGAAGGCGGGUCUCUGGGCCGUAACUGACGCUGAGGAGCGAAAGCAUGGGGAGCGAACAGG
rnacentral:rRNA from 1 species